UCAUCCAAAUCGAGUAUUUUGUCGAAAGAUGAACCUUUGCUGAUGUGACUUUCCUUCUGAUUCCUGAAUCUCCUACUUCAGGUUUUUCAAGUCCAAGUUGAGGGGGAGGGUAUCUGCAAAAGGCACCCCGAUGCUCAAGUUAGACGUGUUGUUGAAGAACUUUAGCUCUUAAUGAAAUAUUCAAUGAAUGAUUAACACUGUUUGAGUAUUUGAGAGUAAUGGAAUAUGAG
rnacentral:sRNA from 1 species